GGCGGCCAACCGCCGGGGCCGCAGUAGCCAGUGCCUCGGCCAUGGCCGUGAGGGGCCGAGGAGCCAGAGGAACAUUCCAGGGGCCGUGGGACAGGGCGGCUGAGGAAGAGCCAGGACAUGCUGGGAUGAGCCCACGGACCUCAUACUCUGCCGCCAGGGAUGCUGGUGGCCAGCAUAAUUUUGGUGGUGCCGAUGGAGUGGGGAAGUGCUGCCCCAGCCAGCCCAGCAGUGGGGUCUGGCAGCGGGCAGGCAGCAGGAAGCCUUGCUGUGAGGAACAGAGAAUGUGGCAGAGGGUUGGGGGAAGGAGAUGGGGACAGAAGGGGAAGGGAAGCCCCAGGUGGGAGCAGGAGAGAUGCCAGCAUGCCGGCCAGCCCUGGCCAUGUGGAUCCUGCCAGCCGUGUGCCUUACACCGCAGCCUGCAGCUGUCCCCGGCCACGGCGCGGGGGUCCUUGUGCUCCCCCCAGUUUGCACGCCAGCGCCCAAGGACUGAGGCUGCUCCAGUGGUUCCUGCAGAGAGGGGCCUGCUUGCAGUCUCCUGGAUCUCGCCAGCCGGCACAGCCCCGCUCCUCAUAGCUGGGAACAGGGGCCACCAGGCCCCGCCUUCCACUCCUCCCAGCCCCGGUCCUGACAAGCGGGUUUGUGGCCCCAGGACCGACGCCGGUGCCUUCCCUGGGGCUGUCGGUUGCACCCCGUGUCGGGGCAGGGUGUCUGGCUGGCACUUCUCUUUGCAGGGGGGCAUCACGUGCCACGCACACUCCUUGCACCUGCUCAGGCCCAGGCUGCUCGUGCUCUGCACACCCAGCUCCAGUCCUUGCCCUGUGCCCCACCACCAGCCCACCCCCGCAGGCCUCCCCACGCACCCCCACCACCAACCCUCCACCCCAAACCCCGGUGCCACGGCACAGCCCCGUGCGCCCUCCCCGGCUGGUGGCAGGAUGCUCUGGAGUGCCCUGGGCUGGGGACGGGGCAGCGCCUGGGCACCCGCCUUCCAGAUACUGCUGUAGCAAUAGGGCUUUAUUUAUUGACUUCGGGGAGAAGACACCUGCCCGUCCCCAUCCCCAUCCCUGUCCCCUUCUCCGGACUUGCCGACGUCCCCGUGGUUUGGAGCAAGUGACGUGCCAGAGCAGCAAUAAAGACCCUGAGCAGCC
rnacentral:lncRNA from 1 species